rnacentral:rRNA from 1 species
CAGGAACUUACCAGAGAUGGUUUGGUGCUCGAAAGAGAGCCUGGACACAGGUGCUGCAUGGCUGUCGUCAGCUCGUGUCGUGAGAUGUUGGGUUAAGUCCCGCAACGAGCGCAACCCUUGUCAUUAGUUGCUACGCAAGAGCACUCUAAUGAGACCGCCGGUGACAAACCGGAGGAAGGUGGGGAUGACGUCAAGUCCUCAUGGCCCUUAUGGGUAGGGCUACACACGUCAUACAAUGGGCGGUACAGAGGGUUGCCAACCCGCGAGGGGGAGCCAAUCCCUUAAAGCCGCUCGUAGUCCGGAUUGUAGUCUGCAACUCGACUGCAUGAAGUCGGAAUCGCUAGUAAUCGCGGAUCAGCUUGCCGCGGUGAAUACGUUCCCGGGUCUUGUACACACCGCCCGUCACACCAUGGAAGUGGGGUUUUCCAGAAGUAGUUAGCUUAACCGCAAGGGGGGCGA